rnacentral:rRNA from 1 species
AUUGAACGCUGGCGGAAUGCUUUACACAUGCAAGUCGAACGGUAGAGGGGGCAACCCCUCGAGAGUGGCGAACGGGUGAGUAAUAUAUCGGAACGUGCCCAGUCGUGGGGGAUAACGUAGCGAAAGUUACGCUAAUACCGCAUACGAUCUAAGGAUGAAAGCGGGGGAUCGCAAGACCUCGCGCGAUUGGAGCGGCCGAUAUCAGAUUAGGUAGUUGGUGGGGUAAAGGCUCACCAAGCCAACGAUCUGUAGCUGGUCUGAGAGGACGACCAGCCACCCUGGAACUGAGACACGGUCCAGACUACUACGGGAGGCAGCAGUGGGGAAUUUUGGACAAUGGACGCAAGUCUGAUCCAGCCAUUCCGCGUGCAGGAUGAAGGCCCUCGGGUUGUAAACUGCUUUUGUACGGAACGAAAAGGUCUCUCUUAAUACGGGGGACUCAUGACGGUACCGUAAGAAUAAGCACCGGCUAACUACGUGCCAGCAGCCGCCGUAAGAC